rnacentral:rRNA from 1 species
AUUGAACGCUGGCGGCAGGCCUAACACAUGCAAGUCGAACGAGUGGCGGACGGGUGAGUAAUGCUUGGGAAUCUAGCUGAUGGAGGGGGAUAACUACGGGCAACUGUAGCUAAUACCGCGUACCAUAGGAUGAGCCCAUAUGGGAUUAGCUAGUAGGUGGGGUAAAGGCGCACUUAGGCGACGAUCUCUAGCUGGUCUGAGAGGAUGAUCAGCCACACUGGGACUGAGACACGGCCCAGAUUCCUACGGGAGGCAGCAGGGGGGAAUAUUGCACAAUUGGCGCAAGCCUUAUGCAUCCAUGCCGCGUGUAUGAAGAAGGCCUUAGGGUUGUAAAGUACUUUCAGCUGUGAGGCGUUACCCGCAGAAGAAGCACCGGCUAACUCCGUGCCAGCAGCCGCGGUAAUUC